AGACCAUUAAAACCGUCGGGACACGGGGGCUUUGAGGGAUCCCAAUUGAAACACCGCUGUCUUAACUUCUUCCAUGGGUGUAACACAAGGAGAAGAGGACUAUGAUCUGAGCCGAUUGCUGGGAGAGCUUGUACUUCAGCAUCAUGGAAGGUCAAUAAAUUCUGAGAAGUUUCGUUGAGUUGAAGCCCCACUUCUUCUUGCCACAU